rnacentral:rRNA from 1 species
UACGUAGGGCGCAAGCGUUGUCCGGAAUUAUUGGGCGUAAAGAGCUCGUAGGCGGUUUGUCGCGUCUGCUGUGAAAACUCGAGGCUCAACCUCGGGCUUGCAGUGGGUACGGGCAGACUAGAGUGCGGUAGGGGAGACUGGAAUUCAUGGUGUAGCAGUGAAAUGCGUAGAGAUCAUGAGGAAGACCAGUGGCGAAGGCGGGUCUCUGGACAGUUCCUGACACUGAGACACGAAGGCCAGGGGAGCAAACGGG